rnacentral:lncRNA from 7 species
AUGGGCACAACAAUGUGUCCAUCUGGGCGUGAACCCAUCUGUCAGCUUGCUCUCUUCCCUUCUAAACCACUAAUUAGAUUCCUAUCCUCCGUAGGAUAUUUUACAGGUUCUGACUCAGGUUCAGAGAUUUUAAGUUUACCGUCUGGAAUUAAAGCAUUCUUCAACUGCCUGUUCUGCCACCUGAUCCGCCAUCUUAUCUCCAGUUUCCUGUACAGUGCUACCUUUCUGAUGUCCUUUACAGAGUAUAAUAGCCAUGCUCUUUGGUCUGGCCGACUGGCACAGUCAGUCUCCAAGCAGUCGCACGCUGCCGGUUUGGAGGUAGUUCUGUGUUGGUGUUAGAAUCAUGGAAUGGCCUGGGUUGAGAAGGACCUCAAAGAUCGUCCAGUUCCAACCCCCUGCUAUGUGCAGGGUCACCAACCGACGGACCAGGCUGCCCAGAGCCUUGUCUUGAAGAAGAUUGUUUUUAGGAGAACAAAAACUUUGGAUCACCUUUCAAAUACAGAGAAAAAAAUAACGCUGUAUUAUUUUUUUGUUUUAUUUUCCUGUUGUUAUGAUCAGGUAAAGAGACAGACAUAUCACAUCUCAGAAAUGGCUUUACUUCAGUGGCCUUAAAUGGUCCCUCUGUGAUCAUUAUUUUCUUAUUGAAUCGCUGUCAGACACAGCUGGUGGAUUUUUGUACGUGCAGUUUGGA